rnacentral:rRNA from 1 species
CGGGCAGGCGGCUGGGUAAGUCGGACGUGAAAGCUCUCGGCUCAACCGGGAGAGGCCGUUCGAAACUAGUCAGCUGGAGGGCAGCAGAGGAGCGUGGAAUUCCGGGUGGAGCGGUGAAAUGCGCAGAGAUCCGGAGGAACACCAGAGGCGAAAGCGGCGCUCUGGGCUGCACCUGACGCUGAGCCGCGAAAGCAUGGGGAGCGAACG